rnacentral:rRNA from 1 species
UACGUAGGGGGCGAGCGUUGUCCGGAUUUAUUGGGCGUAAAGAGCGUGUAGGCGGCCAGGUAGGUCUGCUGUGAGAACUCGAGGCUCAACCUCGAGACGUCGGCGGAAACCAUCUGGCUAGAGUCCGGAAGAGGAGAGUGGAAUUCCUGGUGUAGCGGUGAAAUGCGCAGAUAUCAGGAAGAACACCAAUGGCGAAGGCAGCUCUCUGGGACGGUACUGACACUGAGACGCGAAAAGCGUGGGGGAGCGA